CUCCUUGCACACACUGCCCGUCGAACCACCCGAGUGAGGUUUGGAUGAGGCAUGGUCGAAAGUUGGCCGUGUCGAAUCUGGGCCUUGCAAGGAGGGUU
rnacentral:rRNA from 1 species